CCUACGGGAGGCAGCAGUGAGGAAUAUUGGUCAAUGGGCGGAAGCCUGAACCAGCCAAGUCGCGUGAGGGAAUAAGGCCCUACGGGUCGUAAACCUCUUUUGCCGGGGAGCAAGGGCGGGGACGUGUCCCGGCCCGGAGAGUACCCGGAGAAAAAGCAUCGGCUAACUACGUGCCAGCCGCCGCGGUAAUACGUAGGGGGCAAGCGUUAUCCGGAUUUACUGGGUGUAAAGGGAGCGUAGACGGCUGUGCAAGUCUGAAGUGAAAGCCCAGGGCUCAACCCUGGGACUGCUUUGGAAACUGUGGAGCUAGAGUGCUGGAGAGGUAAGUGGAAUUCCUAGUGUAGCGGUGAAAUGCGUAGAUAUUAGGAGGAACACCAGUGGCGAAGGCGGCUUACUGGACAGUAACUGACGUUGAGGCUCGAAAGCGUGGGGAGCAAACAGGAUUAGAUACCCUGGUAGUC
rnacentral:rRNA from 1 species